rnacentral:rRNA from 1 species
CUCUUCUGGGGACGUCGUCUUCCUAAACGUUGGUCAUCGUUUGUCGGGCACCUCAACUAUCUAGCUUUGUUGUCUGUAGAGAGACAAGCGGACUAGCAGAGGUCGGAUAGGCCAUGAUGUCAGGUCGUCGCGUCUUGGUCGUAGUUGCGGCCGGCGGCCGAGCUGUAUGCCGGUUCCGCGUCAGCUGCGUGGGGAAAGGAGUGGGGAUAGGGCGGAUCGGGCACAAGGAGAGGCAGGGGCCGACGUGGGGAGAGGGGAAGGCGCUAGCUCCGGGCAUCCGUGGGGAGACAGGCGGCCUAGAGUCCGCUGCAGUCGCUGCUGGUUCCUGUCGCCGUCGCGGUGUUCUUGUGAAGGAGUCAUUAUGUAACAAGUCAUCAAGGACUCCACGUGGUACCUUUAAUAGUAGGAGUAGAGUGAACAACACGAAGAACAUGACCCUCGUGAGAAACAAUAGGGUUCUAGGUUUUUGUUUCCACUUCCUUUCCUACGUGCAAGUCGGCCUUUACCUUGCUGUAGAUGCUCGAUAAGUUUCUUUCUCCACAGUUGUGUGUUGUGUUCCUUCCUAACAACCUAGUAUUAGUUCCUGUUCCAAAUGCUACAUUGAGGUAUGCACCUCCUUGUAGGUCCACCACUACGGUAAGAUUUGUUACGACCACCGCUAAGCUGUCUCCCUAAAAAGCCGGGCGUCGUACCGUGUGCUCAGAAGCUGUAGUAGCUCCUAAAGACGUAGCCGUUUAACCUUCUGACUACUACCCCUCCUCUCCGGCAUUUUCGAGGGUUCACACUUGGGUACGCGAGCAGACGUUAAAAGACUUCUACUGCUGCUGCUUGCCUUGGCAAAGGAUUAGCACUAGUACUGUCGAGGUCCCGGGGGUCGACACACCAAGACCAAAGUACAAACUGGAGGACGAAUAAGUAUGAUCAUCGUCACACACUGGGCUGGUACCUGAUAAAGACACAGGACUUACAAAAGGCUCUAAAUAGAGAAGUAAACUCUUCUAUGCUAAAGAAUAUGAAUAAAUACCUUGAAAGAGUCCCGUCUGUUCCUUGGCCCGGUUGAAAAGUAUAACUAAGGAACGUACUGUCACUCUCCGAAAUGAGGUAAGUUUCUUUCGAAAACGAGUCAGUUCAAAAGGAGACCAGAACGGAGUCGACAGUUUCUUAAAGUGUGACAACCCGAAUUCCCCCGUGCAUACUUAAAAGUACACCGAGUACCACAGGUACGGAGGUACUUAAGUAGAACUACUUGUGUCAUCAUUAAUCAUUCUCCACUAGUAAGUAAAACGAC